AUUGAACGCUGGCGGCAUGCCUAACACAUGCAAGUCGAACGGCAGCAGGGGGCUUGCCCCUGGAUUCAGCGUCGCGCACGGGUGAGUUACCUAUCAAUAUACCUGCUGUUGUGGGGUAAAGCCCGGCAAAGGCCGCUAUUAUACCGCAUACGAUGUGCGGGUGAGAGGGGGGGCUUCGGACCCCUCGCUCUCAGAGGUUGCGAGGUCGGAUUAGCUAGUUGGUGGGGUAAAGGCCUACCAAGGCGACGAUCCGUAUCUGGUCUGAGAGGAUGAUCAGCCACACUGGAACUGAGACACGGCCCAGACUCCUACGGGAGGCAGCAGUGGGGAAUAUUGGACAAUGGGCGAAAGCCUAAUCCAGCCAUGCCGCGUGUGUGAAGAAGGUCUUCGGAUUGUAAAGCACUUUUAGUUGGAAGGAAGGGCAUUGAGUUAAUACCUUGGUGUGUUGACGUUACCGGCAGAAUAAGCACCGGCUAACUUCGUG
rnacentral:rRNA from 1 species